GUCCGUGAUCCACCUUCAUCCCAAUCCGGAUUUCUUCUCAGCCACAUCAAGUUAACAACAGCAUCCUCAUCCUCUUCUCCGAAUAACAUCCAAGAUUUAUCCCAGCUCCCCUGUUCCGGAUCAACCUCAUCCGCAAGCCAUUCCAAGCUUCAACAGCAUCACUCCACUGUUCGCAUAGGAUCCAGCUCCAUUCUCCCACGGAUAAACCCAGCAUCCCACGGUUAGCCAUGAGCUUCUACCACGAGUCUUCCCAUCCCUAUCUCGUGGCCAGCCAGAUGAGCAUCCCAGACUUCAACCAUCCCGUGAAAUCCUCCCCUACUUCCUCGGUUCAGCUUCAUCCCAGGCUUCCCGGAAACAACCCCUGCUCCGCGUGUCUUUUCCAACUUUCGGAUGAGAGUCCAGCCGUCCGCGAGAUGUCUGCGAGUUCCUAGCAA
rnacentral:lncRNA from 1 species